GUGCUCGGGCGAGAGCAGUACCAGGAUGGGUGACCCCCUGGGAAGUCCUCGWGUUGCAUUCACUCACCACCUUCCUUUCGCUGCUUUUUUUUUUUUUUUUUUUCCUUUUUCGGGGAAGGUAACGAAAGGAAACACGCGUACGAGUGAACGUUGCUUAUAAAAACAGCACGCGCGACGUAAAACUUACAACGUGCGGUACCGACCCGUGAAAAUAAAGGCACGAAAUCGGAUAAUCGUAACGGUUGGGAAUAUAGGAAUAAAAAGGGAUAAGGAAAA
rnacentral:rRNA from 1 species